UACUCUUGACGACGUUAGAUCAGUUGCCCAUGAUAUGAUAGCUUCUCGUGACUCAAAAAUUUGAUCAAUUGUGAAGGCUUCAGUUAAAUCUAUAAAUACUGGUUGUGUCUUUUCCAUCCCUAUUUCAAAAAAAAAAAUUAACAACUAUCGGAUGUUUGAAAUUCCUAGGUCAGAAUAUUAACUCCUGGAAAUUUUAAAAAACAGAAAUUUCCAGUGAAGGAAUAUAACUACUGGAUUUUUCAAAAUUUUGAAAUUUCCGCUAGCUACCGGAAAUUUGAAAUUUCUGGUAUUGUAAUUUUAACUACCGGAAAAUUUAAUGAGCAAAUUUCUGGUAUUGUAAUUUUAACUACCGGAAAUUUCAAUGAGCAAAUUUCCGUUACCUAUCGGAAAUUUAAUUACGAAAAAUUACCUACUGAAAAUUUAGUUGAAGGGGUGAGAUUUUGAAGUAAUUUUUUUUUACCACUCACAUAAAUGAAAUUUUUAAGGAUAAUAUUAGAUUUUGAACAAAUUAAAAGGUAGAAGUUUAAUUGAGAGAGUACAAAAGCUAACUUUCUAAAAGUUACUCUUAUUUAAAACGAUGGAUAAGCCUACAUACAAUGCCGGUCAUUGGGUAAGGCUGCUAAAGCCAUUAUCUUUGGGCCCUUCUUCAUGAAUGGGUCAAUAUCUUAUUAUGAUUUUUUAUUUUAAAAAAUAGGUGUUUUAAUCUAUUAAGAAAAAUAAUUCAAUAUAUAUAUAUAUAUAUAUAUAUAUAUAUUAAAAAUAUUGAAAUAUGGUUGUUAAUGAUGUAUCCAUGAUUAUUGAGUAAAAAAAUAUAGCAGUGAUAUAUCAUGCAAAAUCUCUCCACGGUUAUGUGCAGGGGCGGAGCUUCCUUGGGACUAAGGGGGCCGCGGCCACCCCAAAAAAAAAAAUUUAUAGGCACAAUGACUAAAAUGUCCAUCUUAAAAAUAAAAAAUUACAAACAUACCUAAACCUAAUUCAGUUUUCUCUUUCUUCCUCUCUCUUCCAUCCAGCCUUCCUCUCUCCUUCUCUCCCUUUUGCUUACAAAUUCCAGCCUUCCUCUCUCCCUCCUCCAUAAUCAGAUUCAUGAAUCAAGACAAACGUGCGGUCGUCUCUCUACGAAAUCGCUCGUCUGCUCGCUCGCGAAAUCGCUCGCUGCGGCCAAUCGUUCGUCUGCCUGACUGCCUCUGUCCGUGGCCAUUCGUCGCUCCCUCUCUACUCGCCGCAACCUCAUCAGUCAUCUGUCUCUAGAUCUCGUUGCUGCUUUGUUCAAAAUGUUCGAAUUUCUAUUUUGUUAUUGCUGAUUGUUGUUAAUUAGUGUUUUUUUGUUAGGUUUGAUUUUUGUUAGAAUAAAAUUUAAAGCUUAUAUUGUUAUUGUUGAGUUUAGAGUUUUGAUUUGGAGUUUGAAAUUUUGAUUUGGAGUUUUAAUUAGCUGAGUUUUGUUUAGAGUUUUUGUGUUGCACAUAAGGUGUUUGAGUUUAUGUCAAUAUAAAGUGUUUGAAUUUUUUUUGUCGCACAUAAGGUGUUUGAUUUUAUGUGUGUGAGUUUUUUUUUUUUGCACACAAGGUGUUUGAGUUUUGUUGCAUUUUUGUUUGAGUUUUUUUGUCUUAUAAAGUUUUUUUUUUUUUUGUUGAAUAUAAGAUGUUUUAUGUUUAUUGAAUUGAUUGAUUUAAAUGAGUUUGUGAGAACUAAGAAGAGUAGAAGAGUAGAAGAAUUGAUUCUUUUUUUCAUGAGGAAAAUUUGUGAGAGUGAAUUAUGUCGGCCACCCCAAAUUUUUCGCUCAAGUUCCGCCACUGGUUAUGUGUAUUACUUAUAUUAAAGGAGAAAUGUUUUAUUAUAG
rnacentral:lncRNA from 1 species